AGCGAACGCUGGCGGCAGGCCUAACACAUGCAAGUCGAGCGGAUGAGUGGAGCUUGCUCCAUGAUUCAGCGGCGGACGGGUGAGUAAUGCCUAGGAAUCUGCCUGGUAGUGGGGGACAACGUUUCGAAAGGAACGCUAAUACCGCAUACGUCCUACGGGAGAAAGCAGGGGACCUUCGGGCUUGCGCUAUCAGAUGAGCCUAGGUCGGAUUAGCUAGUUGGUGGGGUAAAGGCCUACCAAGGCGACGAUCCGUAACUAGUCUGAGAGGAUGAUCAGUCACACUGGAACUGAGACACGGUCCAGACUCCUACGGGAGGCAGCAGUGGGGAAUAUUGGACAAUGGGCGAAAGCCUGAUCCAGCCAUGCCGCGUGUGUGAAGAAGGUCUUCGGAUUGUAAAGCACUUUAAGUUGGGAGGAAGGGCAGUAAGUUAAUACCUUGCUGUUUUGACGUUACCAACAGAAUAAGCACCGGCUAACUUCGUGCCAGCCGCCGCGGUAACAC
rnacentral:rRNA from 1 species